AGCAUCUCAGGAUCACAGCUGGAUAGUUUCCAGUACUCUACCAGCCUCGGCUAAGAGAGGGAGAGUCAAGCAGAGACAUACCCAUUCCAUUCCUGGCUUGGGCAGUGGCUACCGAGUGGAAGGCAAUCUGCUACAAGU